CAGUCCUUCCUCUCCUUUUUCUCCCGCAGCCAAAUUCCUACACUCCUUCCAAGACACCCAGUCAAUUAAUAAGACAUCGUCUCCUCCCCUUUGCAGCCCCCUGCACAAGAGGCCACCCAGGAGCGAGCAGCCCCGUCUCUAAAGCAGCUUCUCUGGUGGCCCAGUGGAAUGCCGGGCAAACAGGAGGGAAGGGCCCGGACCGAGCUGGAGAAGAAAAGAAAAAGUCCCAUCAUUGCUCGCCAGGGCAGCCUGGUCAAAAUUUGGAGGAGACAAUAGGAGAUAUUCAGACUGAGCAGAGACUGUGGCAUUCAAGGCAUCGCAUGCACAGGUGCUUUCGGAAAGGAAACAGGACAGUGGUCAGAGAGGGAGACACUUGCAUCAAAACAAUGUACAGAGUCUGUUUUCAUGUUACGGAUUCCAUUUAAAACUGU